AUGCGGCCAUGGGAGCGCCGGGACCGGGACACGGACGACGGAGAGGAAGACGACGAGGCUGCCUGCUCCAACGCGGGCGCUAACACCAGUAGCGCGAAUGCGAGCACGAGCUCGAGCACCGCUCCUAGUAGCGGUGGGAGGAGGACCGGCGGUGGUGCGGCGGCGGCGGGCGGGUGGGGGAGCAGCCCCGUGUCGGGGGCGACCAUCAACCUCAGCCAGGAGUACACGCUCGCCAUCCAGACCAGCUCCUACAACGAGAUCUGGGGCAAGAUCCACGUGGUCGUGGACGGCCAACGGGUUGACGGCGGCGACCAAGACGAGGACGAGGAGGACAGGAGCACCCUCGCCGGCGUGCUCCGUCCGGAGGACGCGGUGGUGGAGCGCGCGCUCGGGGACGCGCCGGACACGGAGCUCACCCGCCUCGCCGCGGACUACCUCCGCAGCACGCACAACGCGUCGCUGCACUGCCUCGUCCUCCGCCGAGCGCUGCGCCGCGCGCGGGCGCUGUACGGGCCCAUCGCGGAUGUUCUCGCGCUGAUCCCGCACGCCACGCCUCUCGCCGUGCCGCACUGCGACUGCGCGUUUGACGCCUUCCUCCUGUUCGACAAAAUACCCAACCCGUUCCUGCCUCCCGAAGCCAGCUUCCAGGGCAUGCAUCGGAGCUUUGCUGGCCUCAAAACCCAUCUCGACCUCCGCCUCCUCAAGGCCCGACGGAGGCGCCGGCUGUUGCGGUGCGCGACGCGCGGGUCUGGCAUCUGCCUCAUCGGCUGCGCGACGGGGGCGGCGAUCGCUGGCCUCGUCAUCGCCACCCACGCCAUUACCGCGUUGUUGGCCGCGGCUCCUGCCUGCGCAGCGUCGCGUGGUUCCUGCUGCUCAACCCCCGCUUGGAUGAAACGCCUGCAGCAACACAUGGACAGGCUUGACGCCGCGGCCAGGGGCGCCUAUGUACUCAACAAUGACGUUGACACCAUUGAACGGCUGGUGGGCAGGCUCCACGCCACUGUCGAGAGUGACAAGAUCUUGGUAAGGCUAGGGCUUGAGCGUGGGAGGGGGCAGCACCACACCAUCGAAGAGGUGGUGCGGCAGCUCCGGAAGAACCAUCCUAGCCUGCUACGCCAGCUCGCCGACCUCGAGGAGCACAUCUGUCUCUACUUUGCAGCCGUUAACCGUGCAAGGCUGUUCCUUGUGCAUCACCUCAAUGCUCAGUCUGACCCCAAUGCCGAGUUGCCUCUGUAG
rnacentral:rRNA from 1 species